rnacentral:lncRNA from 1 species
UCCGAGAACUUGGAACGCGAUGCACCUCAAGAAAUACUACCACUAAGCAACACUUCACACAGAACUUGAAAAACGACGUAAAACGUUCAACCUUCAGCACAGCGAGACGUCGCUAACGCUCAAAGGAUUCCUUUUUCGUCAAAAACUUUCCGAAAAGGAACACUCACUUUUAAAACAGUCCGCCCACGACUAUGAAGCACACACUCC